rnacentral:rRNA from 1 species
CGACCCCAGGUCAGGCGGGGU